rnacentral:rRNA from 1 species
AAUAGAUACCCUGGUAGUCCACGCCGUAAACGAUGAGUGCUAAGUGUUAGAGGGUUUCCGCCCUUUAGUGCUGCAGCUAACGCAUUAAGCACUCCGCCUGGGGAGUACGGUCGCAAGACUGAAACUCAAAGGAAUUGACGGGGGCCCGCACAAGCGGUGGAGCAUGUGGUUUAAUUCGAAGCAACGCGAAGAACCUUACCAGGUCUUGACAUCCUCUGACAACUCUAGAGAUAGAGCGUUCCCCUUCGGGGGGACAGAGUGACAGGUGGUGCAUGGUUGUCGUCAGCUCGUGUCGUGAGAUGUUGGGUUAAGUCCCGCAACGAGCGCAACCCUUGAUCUUAAUUGCCAGCAUUUAGUUGGGCACUCUAAGGUGACUGCCGGUGACAAACCGGAGGAAGGUGGGGAUGACGUCAAAUCAUCAUGCCCCUUAUGACCUGGGCUACACACGUGCUACAAUGGAUGGUACAAAGGGCUGCAAGACCGCGAGGUCAAGCCAAUCCCAUAAAACCAUUCUCAGUUCGGAUUGU